AGGAGCCUUGACUCCGUCAGGCAAAAGAUUCAAGACAGCCUCAAACGGAGGAAACCGGCCUCAUCGCUGACUGGAUGAGACUCCAAGCUCCCACUCCCCUCUGCAGGAGAACCACAGAAGGAGGCUGGGGAAGGAGGACCACACCAUGCAAAGGGCUUAGAAAGAACAGGACUUGGGGAGUAGGGGAGAUGAACCCCCAAGCUCCAUCCACUCAUGAGCAAGGAAAGGCAGAGAGAAAGUGGCUUCUUGCCUUUGUUCUUAAUGGCAAAGAUGGAGCUGCAAGCCCCUGACAAGGAAAGGAGGGGUGGAAAAGCUUUCACGGGACAACAGAAACCGGCUAAACGCUUCGUUUCCUGUCAUCCUGGCCCUGUUUGGGAAAUAGGGGGCUUUACCCCUUCUGUUUCAUGAAGUUGCUGCGGAAAGGAAAGAUUGUAAUCUCACCUCCAGAUCCAUAGGCUUCUGCUAGGAGCAUGUUGCUGACGAGGAAUGCUUGUACCCAGGCCAACAGCAUCCUUGCCUCCUUCGUCUUGCAGGAGCUAGCUUGCUGCAGCGCGAGCUGUUUUUCAGCUGAAAGGCGCCCCCUGGGUCCUAAGCCUCCUAGGUCAUGCAAAAUCUAACUGAGCCAAGAAAGGAACUCAGCCAAGAGAUAUGCAGGUUGUGCUUAGCAGCCGAUCAGUUUGAGACCUGCGAGGCCGCAUCCCCAGGGUUUUUCAUCUCUUCUGUUUCCAUUUGUGCCCCAUGGGCUGCUGGUCAACCUCAGGAUCUACUAAAGAUGACGCAAAUGCCGACUGAACAAUCUGAAACCCAAAGGACUCGAGGAGAGACAUGUUCUGCUGAGGAGAGAAAGGCUGCCUGGGUCCAGAGAGCCAUGCCGGGAAGGGAGGUCUGUGAUGGGAGCAUGGAGCAUGCCAUCUCUGCUGUUUCUACCAUCUGCCAAGCCCCUGGCCUCAUCCCCAAGGCAACGACAACGUGACAUACCACAAAACAACCUGAAUCAACAAGUGAAGGUCCCCCACCAACCUCAGUGGUUCAGUGGUGUCUGCAAAAUGCAUCCAUCCUGCCAUCUGAGUAGCAGGACUGUAAGAGAAAGCAACAUUCACCUUUGUGUCACAGAUCAAAUGGUAACCCACUGAAGACCACCCCAUUACCUUGUGCUAGAACGGAACUGCCUCUGCCAUCUCUCUUUAACAGAAGCACAUCCUGAGAACCUGAGAGCUCAAGGUAAGUGGCUGAACACUGUCAACACAUACAGACAUCUAACUGUCUCCUUACUGUACAGCCAUAGCAAGAAACAAACGCAUGCAAUGCUGUCAAGGUAGAAGACACCACUGUUUACUACCCCAGUCCCAAAUAUCUGUGUACGUUAGCACAGCCUACCUAGCUCUUCUGUCAUUGUCUUUUUAAGUAAACAUUAUACAUUUGAACUGAAU
rnacentral:lncRNA from 1 species